UACGUAGGGCGCAAGCGUUGUCCGGAAUUAUUGGGUGCGUAAAGAGCUCGUAGGCGGUCUGUUACGUCCGCUGUGAAAACCCAGGGCUUAACCCUGGGCUUGCAGUGGAUACGGGUAGACUAGAGGCAGGUAGGGGAGAAUGGAAUUCCCGGUGUAGCGGUGAAAUGCGCAGAUAUCGGGAGGAACACCGGUGGCGAAGGCGGUUCUCUGGGCCUGACCUGACGCUGAGGAGCGAAAGCGUGGGGAGCGAACAGG
rnacentral:rRNA from 1 species